CCUACGGGAGGCAGCAGUGGGGAAUAUUGCACAAUGGGGGAAACCCUGAUGCAGCGACGCCGCGUGAGUGAAGAAGUCAUUCGUUAUGUAAAGCUCUAUCAGCAGGGAAGAAAAGGACGGUACCUGAGGAAGAAGCCCCGGCUAACGACGUGCCAGCAGCCGCGGUAAUACGUAGGGGGAAAGCGUUAUCCGGAUUUCCUGGGUGGAAAGGGAGCGUAGCCGGGAGGGCAAGUCUGGAGUGAAAGGCGGGGGCUCAACCCCCGGACUGCUCGGGAAACUGUCCGGCUGGAGUGCCGGAGCGGUAAGUGGCAUUCCUUGUGUAGCGGUGCAAUGCGUCGAUAUUAGGAGGACCACCAGUGGCGCCGGCGGCUUACUGGACUGUAACUGCCGUUGAGGCUCG
rnacentral:rRNA from 1 species